UACGAAGGGGGCUAGCGUUGCUCGGAAUCACUGGGCGUAAAGGGCGCGUAGGCGGUGUGUCAAGUCAGGCGUGAAAGCCCCGGGCUCAACCUGGGAACCGCGCUUGAGACUGGCACGCUCGAGUUCGGGAGAGGAUGGUGGAAUUCCCAGUGUAGAGGUGAAAUUCGUAGAUCUCGAGAGGAACACCAGUGGCGAAGGCGGGUCUCUGGACAACACCUGACGCUGAGGCACGAAAGCCAGGGGAGCAAACGGG
rnacentral:rRNA from 1 species